UAGCUCCCCAGCCUUAUAGCCGAAUCCAGUCCUCCUCUACCUUUGUACUCCCUGUGGUCUUUCGGAAACAAAGAAGACAUAGUGAAAUCACAAGUGUCCUCUUGGAAAGGCGGUCCAGAUUGCUCUACUCCCAGGCUCUCCCCCA
rfam:Erinaceus europaeus unplaced genomic scaffold scaffold00166, whole genome shotgun sequence